GGCGUGUUUGAAACAUGCAAGUCGAACGGAGUGUAGCAAUACACUGAGUGGCGAACGGGUGCGUAACACGUAAAGAACCUACCCUUUAGCGGGGGAUAGCCUUGGGAAACUGGGGGUAAUACCGCAUACGCAAUGGUAAGCGCAUGCUUAUGAUUGGAAAGGCCUUCGGGUCACUAAAGGAGGGCUUUGCGGCCUAUCAGGUAGUUGGUGGGGUAAAGGCCUACCAAGCCAAAGACGGGUAGCUGGUCUGAGAGGAUGGUCAGCCACACUGGGACUGANAUACGGCCCACACUCCUACGGGGGGCAGCAGUUUAGAAUAUUGUGCAAUGGGCGAAAGCCUGACACAGCGACGCCGCGUGGGUGAUGAAGGCCUUCGGGUCGUAAAGCCCUGUNGGUANGGAUGAGAGAGGACAGUACCUACCGAGAAAGCCCCGGCUAACUAC
rnacentral:rRNA from 1 species